GGAAACAUCACAAAGUAAGCUGGACCUGUAAGCAUGAUUUUCACCAUAAUAAUGUAUGAUGCUUCAAAGCUUCAGGGUGCAACAACAUAAAGUAUGACAACUAUUGAGAAAAUGGUGGGCAUGUAUGUGUUGUGUGGUAACAAGACAGGAACAUUAAGCAUGUUCAGCUGAAAGGAACAUAAGCAGUUUCUGAAGAACUACAAUAUGUUUUACAUGAUUAAGCGGGCCCCAAAGUCCUUUUUAUUCAAUUAUAUAGAAUUUAAAAUGGAUUUUAUGGUCUGCUUGCAGUUGUUGGUGUGCUAUUCACAGGCAUGUGGUAGGUUUUUUCAUUUUUAUUUUUUUUAACUCUUCGUCUCAUUUCUGUAAAAUAGGAGAGAGAGAGUCUCAGUCUCAUUUUUCUAAGAUAAUAUUUCUCUGAGCUGAUCAACUGUUGCUGAAAUUGCCUUUCAGAUUCCUAUAUUUGAGAAAAGUAACGAAAAAGAUCUGGCAAUUGUAGCACAUGAAGCUAUCCAAAAGGCUACUCGCAAUAAAUUGGAUGUUGUUUUUGUAGAUAUAGCUAGGUGGAUGUAGGAUAACAAACAACACUGAUGAGAGUACUUUCCAAGCUCAUUUAUCUUAACAACCUGGAUCUAGUUCUUUUAGCUGGAGAGGCACUGAUCAGGUUUAGUAUUUGUUGCAACUUUAUUGUACUCGAUACAUCGAAAUCAUGCUUUUCUUUCCCUUCUAUUGGAGAAGAAAGAAAACAGCCAUGCAAGAAAACAAAAUAUAUGGUUAACCAAUGAGAAAUGGACAGAAUUACAGUUCAGAAACGAGAAAUCCCUGAUAUGAAUGCCAAUGAGUUAAUUUCAGUUCAUUAAUAAGUGCUCCAAAUGUACUCUUAGAGUUUCCUACAUACCUUCACAUCUUUACAAUUCAAUUUAAUAAGUUCUCCACCAUCCCUUCACGUUUUCUUUGAUUGCAGAAGAAAAUUAUUAGAAAUGCUGGUGAUUUUAUUUUUGAAUUCUGUUUUUUAUUUGAUUUAUUUGGAUGGAAUUUCAAGGCUUUAUAGUAAUCAACUGCAAUUUUAUUUUCUCUUGUUUGAGGCCUGUUUGGAUGCACCUCGUAAUGAGAAUGAUAUUGGAACUUGGGUGUUUGUUUUGGAUGUUGGGUUUGAUUUAGUUUAGAGGGGAGUAGUGCAUUACUAGAUUGAAAAUUAUGCUCCAUAACCAUGGAUGUCAGGGAACUCUUACUGAAGCUCAAUUCUGUCAAAGAGCCGCUGAAUCAGGCUAAUUCUAAUACAAGUUUGGCCAUUGAAAUGGGCGCAUCUGAGCUUGGAAAGACGAAAGACAUUGAGGUGAGUUUGUCUGAAAGAGAACCGUUUGUAGAGAAACAUUUUUCGAGGAAGUCUUUUCA